UACGAAGGGGGCUAGCGUUGUUCGGAAUUACUGGGCGUAAAGCGUAUGCAGGCGGAUCGUUAAGUCGGGGGUGAAAUCCCGAGGCUCAACCUCGGAACUGCCUUCGAUACUGGCGAUCUUCGAGUCCGGGAGAGGUGAGUGGAACUCCGAGUGUAGAGGUGAAAUGCGUAGAUAUCUGGAGGAACACCGGUGGCGAAGGCGGCAUCCUGGACCAACACUGACACUGAGGAGCGAAAGCCAGGGGAGCAAACGGG
rnacentral:rRNA from 1 species